GCUCAUGAUCUCAGGAUGUAUGGAAAAAUAAUCUUUGUAUUACUAUUGUCAGAAAUUGUGAGCAUAUCAGCAUUAAGUACCACUGAGGUGGCAAUGCACACUUCAACCUCUUCUUCAGUCACAAAGAGUUACAUCUCAUCACAGACAAAUGGAGAAACGGGACAACUUGUCCAUCGUUUCACUGUACCAGCUCCUGUAGUGAUAAUACUCAUUAUUUUGUGUGUGAUGGCUGGUAUUAUUGGAACGAUCCUCUUAAUUUCUUACAGUAUUCGCCGACUGAUAAAGGUGAGAAUUCAGUUUUUAAUUUUGCUCUAAAUACCAGUGUGAACAGCUCUAGGAGGGUUUAUUCCUCUGAGUUCAGUUAAACUCAGAAGAGAAACAGAACUGCAUAAAAUUCCAUCUUUUUCAACUGGACACAUAGAAGUCACUGUGUUUCUCUAGCAGAAUUUUUUUUUUGCAUUUGCCCAAUUAAAGGGAACCUCUAAA
rnacentral:lncRNA from 1 species